AUUUAUAUAGUUUAAACAAAACAUUACACUUUCACUGUAAAAAUAAAGAAAACUUUUAUAAAUA
rnacentral:tRNA from 16 species